UCAUCUAGUAGAUUGGAUAAA
rnacentral:snRNA from 1 species